UACAGAGAGUGCAAGCGUUAAUCGGAAUUACUGGGCGUAAAGCGCGUGUAGGUGGAUACUUAAGUCAAGUGUGAAAUCCCUGAGCUCAACUUAGGAAUGGCAUUUGAUACUGGGUGUCUAGAGUAGAGUAGAGGGAAGUGGAAUUUCCGGUGUAGCGGUGAAAUGCGUAGAUAUCGGAAGGAACACCAGUGGCGAAGGCGACUUCCUGGACUCAUACUGACACUAAGGCGCGAAAGCGUGGGGAGCAAACAGGAUUAGAAACCGGUCGACCA
rnacentral:rRNA from 1 species